UACGGAGGAUCCGAGCGUUAUCCGGAUUCAUUGGGUUUAAAGGGUGCGUAGGUUGUUUUAUAAGUUAGCGGUGAAAUACCGGGGCUCAACCCCGGGGCUGCCGUUGAAACCGGAGCGCUAGAAUUCCGAUGCCGUCGGAGGAAUGUGUGGUGUAGCGGUGAAAUGCAUAGAUAUCACACAGAACACCGAUUGCGAAGGCAUCUGACGAAUCGGAGAUUGACGCUGAUGCACGAAAGCGUGGGUAUCGAACAGG
rnacentral:rRNA from 1 species